UGCCUGAAAGGAAAAAGUUUCGAUUGU
rnacentral:sRNA from 1 species